AGAGUUUGAUCCUGGCUCAGAUUGAACGCUGGCGGCAGGCCUAACACAUGCAAGUCGAGCGGAUGAGUGGAGCUUGCUCCAUGAUUCAGCGGCGGACGGGUGGGUAAUGCCUAGGAAUCUGCCUGGUAGUGGGGGACAACGUUUCGAAAGGAACGCUAAUACCGCAUACGUCCUACGGGAGAAAGUGGGGGAUCUUCGGACCUCACGCUAUCAGAUGAGCCUAGGUCGGAUUAGCUAGUUGGCGAGGUAAAGGCUCACCAAGGCGACGAUCCGUAACUGGUCUGAGAGGAUGAUCAGUCACACUGGAACUGAGACACGGUCCAGACUCCUACGGGAGGCAGCAGUGGGGAAUAUUGGACAAUGGGCGAAAGCCUGAUCCAGCCAUGCCGCGUGUGUGAAGAAGGUCUUCGGAUUGUAAAGCACUUUAAGUUGGGAGGAAGGGCAGUAAGCUAAUACCUUGCUGUUUUGACGUUACCGACAGAAUAAGCACCGGCUAACUUCGUGCCAGCAGCCGCGGUAAUA
rnacentral:rRNA from 1 species